UAUACAUGUAACGCAUGCAUCAAUUAAUUGUAAUAUAUGAGAGCUAUUGUAGAAUUUAUCCGCGACUUGUUAGCCCACAAAGCAUUCACAUAAAUAAACUCUCAAGAGACGAAAAUGAAAUGUUUUAAAUAGGAAAAGAAGUAUAGAACUCACGCCUAUCAAUUAGCAUGGGCUAAAAAAAGGUUUGUGGUACUCAUGACUCAUGAGUGCAACGGUUACCUAAACUUUGACCGCAAUACGUGUACUUAAUAUCCUCUAGUUAUAGGUACAUUAUUUUAAUUCUAAUUCUUAACUUAAAAUAUUGACAUAAAUUUUGACUGAUUAAUCUCCUGCAAUUUAAUGGUGAAUAAAUUGACAAAAUAUUAUUUUAACUUUCAAUAUUCAUUAGAUUGUGUAAGAUAAAUGACUUGAAAUUUUGUGUCAAAUUUUUAAAUAAAAAACUUAAGUUAGAGUAGUUCUGCUCAUUAGAUUUAUAUAGGUAGAAUUAUACGUGGUAGUGCUUUAACAUAUUUUGAAACACAUACAACAUUGAGUUGCUAGGUCUUUUUAAAAUUACUAUAAAUAAUCAUAUGUACCUAUUAAUUUGUUUUUAAUGUUCUCUAACUCUUUUAAGAGAAAAUGGUGAUUACUCCCCUGAUGUUUGGAGAAAUCAAGUAAAAUCUCUCUCAUGCAUGCUUUAAAAUAAGUCCAAACCCUCUUGCAAUUUUAAUGGUGUUAAUUUUAUAUAUCAUUUUAUUAUUCUACCCCUAAUCUUGAAAUUAAUUAUAAAAUUUAAAUGUUUUGAGUAUAUAAGUCAAGCAAAAUAACUUAUAUACUCUUAAUAUUAAAUUAAUUUAAUAAUGAAUUAUAAACUAUGGAAAAAUACAGAUAAUUGACAUCCCACCCCCCUAAAUCAAUUUCUUCCCACCAAAAUUAAUAAAAACAUCCAUGUCGUAAUUUAGAUACGAUUCCUACUGUUAUAAACUAACAAUUUAUAUUUUCUUUCAUAAAUUAAGGACAUGUUAGGCUGUACUGUAAAAAGGUUAAGAUAGUGCUCUUUUAUCUUUUGGUUGAAAAAGAGGUUAUGAUAAUAUCUUAAAUCGUUGUGAUAAAUUAACCUAAAUUUGUCUCUUGCAGGUUGAUUUGAUUUUCAAAAUUUGUAGGCCAGAUUCGAUUGGGGAGUCAACUUGUUCUGUCUUGGUACAGAUAGAGCUUUUGGUCGCAAAGUCCUAUAUCAGUAUGAAUCUCGUCUGCCAAACAUGAUUUGCUUUAUUAUAAUUAAUCAUGCGUUUACUUUUUAGAUUAGAAUGAGAAUUUUGGGAUUAGAAGUAUAGAGUGGGAGUGAGAGUAAGGUGUUUACUUAGACUAAAUAAAAGUAUGGAUUGUCAAUCAAAAUUCUAAUUAUUUGUUUACUUUUUUUU
rnacentral:lncRNA from 1 species